AAUUGUAGUUAUUCAUGUUUUUUUAAGCACCUUUCACUGCUGUGCAUACCAAUGAAGAUGAGCUGGAUAUUAUCACAAAACCUGUAUCGGAAGAAGUUAAAGUAGAUGAAAACUUUUCAAAAAGAGACAUAACAAGUACACCACAACAGGAUGAGGAUGCGGGUGAUUUCCUCCUUUUGGGGGAAACAAGUCCUGGGAACAUGGACAAUCUUAGUCAUAGAAUACGUGUGUCCAGUGCGCUGUUUGAUGUAAUGUCAGGUCAAUCAGAGAUUGACCAUCCACUUUGUGAGGUAGGUGUGAAAGGAUUUCAUACAAAGUAACAGAGUGUUUCCAUAACCACAUUGUGUCUAAUGGUAGGCUCUGGAGUUGAGAGAU